rnacentral:tRNA from 1 species
CAGAGCAUAGCUUAACCAGAAGAGCAUCUCUUUUACACUGAGAAGACAUCCGUGCAAAUCGGAUUGCCCUGA